GCAAAUUCAACUUUUUUUCAUUAAUUAACUAACCCAAAUCAAAUUAGUUGUGAUAAAGGCAGCAGUGGGGGAGGCAACUGUGGCAAUUGCAGUUGGAGGUGCUAAAUUGAAGUCCAUCUCUCCAGUCUUCUAAGGAUUUGCAUGGAAGAAACUUAUUUUUUGACAGAGAAUGGACAGAUAACAGAACAAUAUAUAACUUAAUGAAAAAAAUUAAUUUUAAAAGAAAAAAAAAUAAA
rnacentral:misc_RNA from 1 species